GGUGCUGAAGCAACAAAUGCCCUGCUUCCAGGAAAAGCCUCUAAGCAUCAGGUAACAUCAAAUCGUACCCCAAACCGACACAGGUGGUCAGGUAGAGAAUACCAAGGCGCUUGAGAGAACUCGGGUGAAGGAACUAGGCAAAAUGGUGCCGUAACUUCGGGAGAAGGCACGCUGACACGUAGGUGAAGUGAUUUACUCAUGGAGCUGAAGUCAGUCGAAGAUACCAGCUGGCUGCAACUGUUUAUUAAAAACACAGCACUGUGCAAACACGAAAGUGGACGUAUACGGUGUGACGCCUGCCCGGUGCCGGAAGGUUAAUUGAUGGGGUCAGCGCAAGCGAAGCUCCUGAUCGAAGCCCCGGUAAACGGCGGCCGUAACUAUAACGGUCCUAAGGUAGCGAAAUUCCUUGUCGGGUAAGUUCCGACCUGCACGAAUGGCGUAAUGAUGGCCAGGCUGUCUCCACCCGAGACUCAGUGAAAUUGAACUCGCUGUGAAGAUGCAGUGUACCCGCGGCAAGACGGAAAGACCCCGUGAACCUUUACUAUAGCUUGACACUGAACAUUGAGCCUUGAUGUGUAGGAUAGGUGGGAGGCUUUGAAGUGUGGACGCCAGUCUGCAUGGAGCCGGCCUUGAAAUACCACCCUUUAAUGUUUGAUGUUCUAACGUGGACCCGUGAUCCGGGUUGCGGACAGUGUCUGGUGGGUAGUUUGACUGGGGCGGUCUCCUCCUAAAGAGUAACGGAGGAGCACGAAGGUUGGCUAAUCCUGGUCGGACAUCAGGAGGUUAGUGCAAUGGCAUAAGCCAGCUUGACUGCGAGCGUGACGGCGCGAGCAGGUGCGAAAGCAGGUCAUAGUGAUCCGGUGGUUCUGAAUGGAAGGGCCAUCGCUCAACGGAUAAAAGGUACUCCGGGGAUAACAGGCUGAUACCGCCCAAGAGUUCAUAUCGACGGCGGUGUUUGGCACCUCGAUGUCGGCUCAUCACAUCCUGGGGCUGAAGUAGGUCCCAAGGGUAUGGCUGUUCGCCAUUUAAAGUGGUACGCGAGCUGGGUUUAGAACGUCGUGAGACAGUUCGGUCCCUAUCUGCCGUGGGCGCUGGAGAACUGAGGGGGGCUGCUCCUAGUACGAGAGGACCGGAGUGGACGCAUCACUGGUGUUCGGGUUGUCAUGCCAAUGGCACUGCCCGGUAGCUAAAUGCGGAAGAGAUAAGUGCUGAAAGCAUCUAAGCACGAAACUUGCCCCGAGAUGAGUUCUCCCUGAGACUUUAGGUCUCCUGAAGGAACGUUGAAGACGACGACGUUGAUAGGCCGGGUGUGUAAGCGCAGCGAUGCGUUGAGCUAACCGGUACUAAUGAACCGUGAGGCUUAACCUUACAACGCCGAAG
rnacentral:rRNA from 1 species